rnacentral:rRNA from 1 species
CCUGCCCUCAGCGGGGGAUAACAUCCGGAAACGGGUGCUAAUACCGCAUAGUUUCUUUUUCCGCCUGGAAGAAGAAGGAAAGAUGGCCUUUGCGCUAUCACUGAGGGAUGGACCCGCGGCGUAUUAGUUAGUUGGUGGGGUAAUGGCCUACCAAGACGAUGAUACGUAGCCGACCUGAGAGGGUGAUCGGCCACAUUGGGACUGAGACACGGCCCAAACUCCUACGGGAGGCAGCAGUAGGGAAUCUUCCGCAAUGGACGAAAGUCUGACGGAGCAACGCCGCGUGAGUGAAGAAGGUUUUCGGAUCGUAAAACUCUGUUGUCGGAGAAGAACAAGUAGGAGAGUAACUGUUCCUACCUUGACGGUACCCGACCAGAAAGCCACGGCUAACUACGUGCCAGCAGCCGCGGUAAUACGUAGGUGGCAAGCGUUGUCCGGAUUUAUUGGGCGUAAAGCGAGCGCAGGUGGUUUCUUAAGUCUGAUGUGAAAGCCCACGGCUCAACCGUGGAAGGUCAUUGGAAACUGGGGAACUUGAAUGCAGAAGAGGAGAGUGGAAUUCCAUGUGUAGCGGUGAAAUGCGUAGAUAUAUGGAGGAACACCAGUGGCGAAGGCGACUCUCUGGUCUGUUAUUGACACUGAGGCUCGAAAGCGUGGGGAGCAAACAGGAUUAGAUACCCUGGUAGUCCACGCCGUAAACGAUGAGUGCUA